ACCGGAUGAGAGUGUGACACUGAGAUGCAAACUGACGCUCUUCCGCUGCGCAGUGUUUCUCAGGUGGGCUCAUUUGAAGACGCUGUUCCGCAGCAUGGCCUGGGAUGGCUCCACACAGCUCCGGAAGUGUGCCUGGAAGUGCUUGAUGCAGAACAACAAGAGCCACAUCCCCAAAUUCCUGUUCCACGCCUUAGAAUACCUGGAA